rnacentral:rRNA from 1 species
GAUGAACGCUAGCGGGAGGCUUAACACAUGCAAGUCGAGGGGCAGCAUUAGGUAGCAAUACUUAGAUGGCGACCGGCGCACGGGUGAGUAACGCGUAUGCAACCUGCCCUGUACCGGAGGAUAACCCGGAGAAAUUCGGACUAAUACUCCAUAAUAAUAUAAAGAGGCAUCUUUGAAUAUUUAAAGCUUCGGUGGUAUGGGAUGGGCAUGCGUAACAUUAGCUAGUUGGCAGGGUAACGGCCUACCAAGGCAACGAUGUUUAGGGGACCUGAGAGGGUGACCCCCCA